rfam:Loxodonta africana unplaced genomic scaffold scaffold_264, whole genome shotgun sequence.
GACGAGGUGACCGAGUGGUUAAGGUGAUGGGCUGGUAAUCUAUUGUGCACUGCACGCGUGGGUUCACAUCCCAUCCUCGUCG